UGUGCGGACCUGCGAAAUUUAGGGCGUCAGCAGCGAUCUGUCUUGGUUUGUGUGUCGCUUUCCAGGUGGUCGUUUGUUGUGAUUUUGUGCCCGUCUUUUGUCUGGGUUUUCUGGCAAGAAUAUCUUGAAAUUUGUUCCCAGGUUGAAAUUCAGAGUGGUCAGCUGGUCUUCGACAUUCCGUUUCCGUCAUGUCCGUGUCGUCUAGUCGGUCAACAUUCUGGUUUGAAGUUGAAUUUUGAUUUGUUUUCAACAGACAGUUAAGGCAACACAGAAUCAUGAUGAAAAACCUCAACGACAGCGUCUAUUCGAUUUCCACGCCGCGUAUUUCUGCACUAAAUAAACUCGACGAACAAAGUCAGCUUGAAACAACAUGUUACUUUCUUCAUUUCUUCAAAAGACUUGUGUUUUCAUGGUCAAUUGACUCACUGACUGAACUUUGCGAAAACAAACAUUAUGACAAAGACUGUCAUGACUGUUUUCUGGCACUCAGUUCAUGCAGGCGAUUUUUUUAUUUGUUUUACUUUAGUUUUUGUAGGUCUUGGACUUGGCGCACAUCACAAUUUUGCUUAUUAACUAUACAAAAAACAAAGACGGGCCCGGCCUAUCGUGUUUUCUCCAGCACAGCGGGUUAUAAUUUUGACGGUUGUAGUUUGGCACAUUGGCUAUGUCGUUUUCUCUACAUUUUGACAAUCUUCAAGAAGUACUAUAGGUUCAGUUGACUUGGUGAAAGAAGUGUUAUUCCCGAUUCCUCAACUUGUCCACUGCUAAAGUGCUAUUGCUCAAAACAAGAAUUUCAAGGCAUGGCUGGUCUUCGAAUUCAAGAGACCCAAGAAUAUAAAUGAUAUUAAGUGAUAUGACGCAAAUUGCAGCCACAGACUAUGACGAAGCCAGCCAAGUAAGAAGUCAAAGUGAUAGUUCUUCAAAGUAAAAAUUCAUUUCAAAGAGCAUGAAGCAUCAUCAAGUACCUUCAGUGGUUGUUUACAUUAUGUUAAGACACUUGACGUGAUAGUGGAAGCAAAAUUCAUUCGAUUCUGGAAAUUCGUUUUGAUUUUGAAAUAUUGUACAAAUGGAAGUGAAAGAAAUCUGAAAGAGAAAGAGUACGCUCACUUGAAAGUGAUUCAGCAAAGUGAUCCUGAACAAUCAUCAAUCUUUGUAUACUGUGUCAACAUUAUUCCCACCCAGAAGGGAAGGGGUUUUUGUGUUUGUUUCUUCCUUCAUCUUCUAUCAAGUCCAGGGGAAAAUGCUACAAGUCUACCUGUAAAGUCACUCAUGAGAAAAGGAAUUCACACAAGGCAGGCCUGACACAAGAUGGAGAGUCUGGAAUUUCAAGAUUCUGAUCAAGAUGUCUAAACACACGGUGCACAAAUUCAUCAAAUUUGUAAAAAAUCGUUCCAAUUUGACUUGAGGAAAAAGAAAUGUUCACCAAAACUAUGGUUCGGAAAGAAAUCUAAGAAGAAAGAAGAAACAAGUGAAAGAAAAUAUGCCAAAAUCCUUAAAGAUUGUUUUUGACAUUCUGGUUGUGUCUCCAAACGGCAAAUCCUGUAAUGGAGUUUUAACUAUUUCAUGAGGUGCUAGGCUUGGGGCGUUUUCUUCCUUCCCUUUUCAAGUGUUUCGUAUGUAGUUCCGAAUGCUGAUGUAUGAAGCGCGAGUGGUUCACUACCGCAACCUGUCAAGGAAUUCCCCUUAGAGGUCCCAGGUCACACUGCUAGGAAGUUCAAGCUUGAUGUUCACUGGUGUUAGGACCCAGCUACACAGGUUUCUUUUCUAUGUUCACACCAAAGUUAAAAGUUUUCUUGCCAAGCAUUUUUUAAAAUUAUACUUAAAACCAUCUUUGUGGUUUAGUACUAACCUUCAACAGAGUUAUCAGAUCGUACAUCUACUUGUAUUUCUUGGAAACUUCUGCUUUGUCGUCGUGUUCCCCCCCCCCCCCCUUUUUUUUCCAGUUAUAUUUUUUUAUGUUUUAGAUACACUUGGAUUUGGGCUACUCAAGCAAGCGCUGUGGGUAAAACAAGAAAGACCACCAUAGACGUAGCAAUGGAUUGCCGCUGCGGUUACAGACCAAGCAAGCACGUGUCGACAUUCGGUUAUUUCGUCGCCAUGUAGGGCCACGCCAAACAGGUUUCCCUCUGUAAAGUACAAACACGCUGCAACAUAGUAUCUGUUAAGGAAAAUUGGAUAAUUCUUGCCGUGCAUAUUUCUGUCUGAAAUAUUUUUAUGGAGAUCUGACAACAUGCCGGUAUAGGAACAUCGCUAAAACAAGAGCUUUGACCAUUGUUUACAUGAGGUUGACAUGAAGCAAACAUCAGUUCAAUGGGGCCAUGCUUAGCAGUUCUUUAAAUUGUAAACUACAUUGUAGACACUCGUGGUAAACACAUUUUAAUUUGUAAUGAGCGCUCGUGCCAUACCCUCGGUGUUUCUUCCUCCCAUUUUUUCCCCCAACAAAUCUCAAAUAUGUAGGUAAUCUGCCUUGCAACUUCUGUCACGGAAGACAUCUCGUUGAACUUCUCGUUGAAGAUCUAUCUUGCUCGUGUACGCUGCGCAUUCCAAUCAUAAUGGUAAAGUAAGCUGUUGUAAAGUAAACAGAAAAAGAUAAUUACAUGAAGUAGAUAAAAAAUGAUUUAACUAACCAUAAAAAGUGGAAAUGUAUGCAUUCUAGGGUUUCCUUUUUCCCCAUUUUUAAGUAUUCAUGUAGAUCGGUGAGCCCAAAGACGUGUUCUUAAGCCGUUGCUUACUGUGCUGUGCCAUUGUACUUGAAGCCGAGUCUUCAGCGUGUGGAAGUUGUUUGAAGAAAGAUACCUCUAACAGGUUUCUCGUAAUCCAUUAACGUGUGAAUGCGUUUUGAAAUUUCAAUCUUAAUCGCCUUUCAAAGUGGAUCACAAAGAUGAAUGCACCAAGCUUAAAAUCCGGGAAUAUUGUGAACGUUUGUUAUUUGGGCAUUGAAAAGUUACAUGUCUUUGCUUUAAAUAAUUUGGGUCUUUUGUAAGCGGAAACAAAAUACUACAAAACUUCACUCCUAAACUGACAGUCCAUUGGAACACUUGGAUCAGCUAUUACUUUUGUUGGGGAAUGUGGUGUUUUGUGUUUUUCUCCUGGUUUCCAUCCAGUCUGUAGAUCUACAGCUUGCAAGAUAAGAUACACAUGCUUUCCAUGCUGUACUACGUAGCUCGUCAUACCUGCGCAAAGUUCAAGUCAAAGUGCAAGAAAUCGUGCAGAAUGAUCAGUCACCCGAAAGAAAAGGACAGAGCCAGCAGGUUUCUUUAUAAUAUCAAGAAGAUUUGGCUAUUCUUAGUAAUUACUCGUAUUCAUAAGAUACAACAAUGCCAUGGCAAAAAUAUAAAAAUUAUCAGUUUUGGGGAAUUUGUAAAAACUUGAUUGAUUCAAUAAACAGGAACACUAAAUACACUAGAUUUAAAGUGCAACUUUUUUUCACACAUCUCAAAUGAAAUCAAAAGAAUUCAACAGUUGCUUGUUAAAAAUUGACGUGGUACACUAACAAAAGAAUUACAGUGAUUAGGUUAGGGCUUCAUAACUUGCUUUGCUUUUUCCCAAUGUUAAUCAUAAUCUUGCAGUUAUCACGAGGCCGUCCUCAUUGAGGUCUUCAUGAAGAAAUUGGCAUGGAUUGACAAUCGCUCCUUCACCAGACCACCUGACCACCCUUCUGUUUUCACGCACCCAUCUUUUAAUAGAAUGAGACAAGACUGUGUUGCUUUCUUCAUCUACCACUUUCUCCGAUUAGAAGCUUUUGGGUGAACCUGUUUUCGCUGUGACUUUUUUAAUUUUUGUAUUUCACCAACGCCAUCCUUAAUGUUUUUCAAACUUAACUUCUUUUUGAACUGUAGUUCACUCUUGUGAAUUUGCUUACCUCUACUUGUGUCCAUGAUUGUUUUCGAACUCCACAAGCGUGUAGGAUGUUUUGUUUUUCCCCUGCUUUUUUUUUGCAAUAACCCAGGUUCCUCAUGAUCUUCACUGCCGUGCUUAGACCUCCGCCUAUCAACUCAUGUAUGACUACCGUAUGUGUGUCGCACUCCUUUUUCACAAUUACUCCUGCGUUAUACAAGCAGCCUUCUAGGUGUCAAAUCAUGUGAAUUCCCUGCACUUCCCAAGUUUUUGUCGGUCAUGGUAAAAUACACAUCUGUCUGUCUUGCUGAUGUAAGUUUUUAAUUCAUUUUGUUCUCAAACACUUAAAAAAGCUUCCAUUUCUAGAACCGCUUUUUCUCGUGACAUUCGUUGUUUACAUUUACUUGAGUUAAACCCAUUCACAUCACAACCUACUAAAUAAAUGGUUGGGCUUUUUGUUGAAAUAUAGAGAUUGAAAUGUCUGCACAUUGCAUUUAACAAGUUUGUUUGCAACAUUUUGUUAUUCUCAAAAUUGGUCUCAAAUUUCCCAGUGUACAUGCAUGCAUUUCUAUCAGACACUUUGUUCUGAUUAGCAUAUUGACUGGUUGCUUCUUUAACACAAUGGAUUUAUUUUCAAUGAAUAUUAACCACGUGUAGGCGCUGUUUGGUAUGGGUGGGGGGAGAGACUUUUGUUUGCAUUUUGUCGUUAUUACAGCUUUGGAAGCGAAUGCACAGCAUCGUGGGACAUCGUCCUAGCAAGCUGAUUCAUGCAACUUCUUUGAAACUGCAACACAGUGUGUCCGCAUUGGCUACAAUUUGUCCAUCCCACUAAAUCAAGAAAUGUUCUGCUCAAAUUUUCUUCACCAUCUCUUCAUUGUUGCUGCUCAUCAAUGACAACACUUACUGUAAGGUCAUGUUAACCCUCUGGCUUCAUAGAAAUUUUCACUACAAUUCAACACGUUAAGAAAUACACCAAAUUGUUCCUUCUGCAUCAUCAAAAGUAAAAAUGACAUCAACUGCAUGAAAAAAAUUCUUAAUUUAGAAUGGUCAUAUUGCCAACAGUAGCAUAGCCAGUAAUGGAGGAUUGAUUAGUCAUUCAAAAUAUGCCUUGGCCUUUGUUUGCCUUCGUAUGGUUUCUCCCACUUUUAUUUGCAUUCAUUUAGGUAACUAAGGACUUGGAAUCUGCAGGUAUCAGACUUUUAUAUCACUGUUUUAGCUUGUGGCAAAUCAGGCGCUGCACAUGUUUCUAACAAGGUACCGUUAACGUUGAAUGUUUGUUAAUUGCUGGUUGUAGUCGUUGCUUUUGAAAGUUUUGGGGAUCUCUUAGUUGAUUUUUGUUAAAAUUAUAUUGCCUAAGCUGUUGCAUGUAAUUUUAUAUUUUGUAGUGUUGGUAAAGAGUCUUUAAGACAUUUGGCAUAUUGCCAUGGGGAGGAUUGUUGGGCUAGCGUGGGUAGGGUAAUCUGUUCUUCCGUUCCAGGGAUUGUGAAACUCCUCGGCCCCCGUGAAAGCUUUGUAACUGUCCGCGGUUAGCUGAUCGUACAACAUGAAUUGACAACGGCAUUCUUUCAUGAGUUGAAGGUCUUAAUAUACAGGCAUAACAGGCAAGUUCUGUGUAUGAUAGAUUACCUAGUAAAUUUAAGGCUUUUUUAUUUUGUUGAAUGUUGCUUUGUCUUGUAGAACGAUGAGAAUGUUGACAAAUAUGCACUCAGAAAAAAAAAAAGACUAAUGAACAUGAAUACUUCUCCGGAAAAGAUUAUUCUUUUUAUAAGCCUGUCUGUGGACUACUGUUUGUUUUGAGAUACUGGGGGGUUACCUUAGGGCAAGUCGAUUUUUUUUUUAGCUUUCCUUUCCAGAUUUUGCCCAUGAAGAAACUGGCCACAAUUCCUGUGAAAGACACAAGAGUUCCUAUGCAGAUGUCCUAAGAAUCUACUCAAGCCCUCACGAUCCCACUCGGUCCUUGACAUGAACACCAUCCAAGUAGCUACGUCUUCAAUUCUGUGCAAUCCUUUGUUACAAGUCAAGUUUUCAAGAGUGUCGUAGCCUUUGCGCAUAAAUGGAACUGUCAAACCGGUCCUACUUGGCAUGUAUUCACAAGACGUGAGUUUCUCCGAUAAAAUUUUCUCUGUUGAUUGCCUUUUGAGGAAAAUUCAACUAUUUGUAAAGAGGAAAUCAAGUCUCUCAGCUUCUCAUACUUACGUUGCAAGUUUUCUGGUACAUUAGGUCCUUUUUUUUCUCCCCCUGCUGGCUGCUAGCAUGUAGAUUCCUUAUAUGUCCGGUUUUGCCCGGAAUAAUUUCACUGGUGUUAUUAAUUUACUGUUGCAUCUAAGUUGCACUUUGAUUUAAAUGAGAGCACAAGUGACCUUGUCAGCAUAAACAAUACUGCAAACAAUGUACAAGUAGGGCAGUGUGAUGGGUUUGGGGUAGGUUUUUUUUCUAUUUUUAUUACAGAAAGGUGUCCCUGAAUAUGUCUGGGCAACCAAGAGGAACAGAUAAACCGGAAACGGGCUUAACGUGUGCGCUGUGUCGUCAAAAAUAACUGCGGUAUGCUUGAUGUAUUAAGAAUGUUAUCCUAUAGUGAAAUCACUGCGUAAUUAAUACUUGGUGUUUGUGUAGAUGUGACAAUUUUGAUAAGUGGACGAAUGACGUUUUGUUGAAAAUACGUGAUCGUGUAAACCGUGACCAAAAAAAUGUAAUGUGAAAGGUAAUGAAUUUAGGGGAUGUGAUUGAAGGUUAUUAGCAGUUGUACUAAGUGUAAAUAUAUCAGCGAAUUCAAUGAGAAUGACUGUGCUUUAGGAGAAAAAUUGUGAAAGAAUAUACAUACGCAAAAUAAUUUUAAAUCCAGUCACUGUGAAGUUAACGGAUCAAUUCUGUGAUUAUGUUUGUGAUAGACUGAAAGGGUAGUCGAGGGGCUUUCGUAGGGCAAACUUUUUUCUUUUAAUUCUAUAAGUACACAGGUUAAACGAAUUUCCCGAGGUGGAAACUAAAUCCUGGAAAAGUACUCCGAACGUUUUGAGGUGAAAAGGACAGGUGUAUGGUGGAAAGUUUGUGGUAGGAUAAUUUGUUUUGGGGAAAUUGUACUUGCCAAGAACUUGUGAAAAUGAUUUAUCUGAUACUUUGUAACAAUUUUGAAGGGCCAUGUGUACCUAACAGCCAUGUGAGGGAUGGGUAUGUGUGCAUGGGGGUGGGAAAUGUUUACCUGUGCUUGCCUUGCAGAAACUGUUGACAUGCGGCAGUUUUUGGAUAGCGUUUGUACUACAUUUGGUAUCAAGCCGGACUGACCAUAUCUUGCCGAUUUUAAAUGCGACCCGAAGAAUGCAUUCUUGCUUCGUUCAUUUGGUAGGAUCAACUCAUUUACAAUCCUUUUUUUUUUAAAACGCUCGUAGAAAGCUAGCUUGCUUAAACUGCAUUGAAGUCUCUAAAAAUGCAUGUGAAAGAACAUCUUUUGUUGAGGAAACUGUUUUGUGUAAUAGAUCAUCCUUAAAAAGCUUUAAAACGUUUUUUACCCGCGGAUGCAUGAUUUCAUAAUGUUGCGGCGUUGCUAUUGCCUGUUGGGAGGGAUUGGGGAAGAAAUUCUUGUUUGUUUAAAGAGCUACAGAUUCAGAGCCAAGCCUUACUCCCAUAGUGAUGUGGCAGCUUCUAAGGAGGUCUCUCAGCCAUGGUCAUCUUGACUUGCAAGCUCCUGGUUCCAAGAAAGGUUCCACUGGAAAUUCCAAAAUCUCCAUGUUCUGGUAUAGUACUGCUUAAAAAGUAUUUGAGUGCAUGGCUUUUUUGUGCUUUUGCAUUUUGGGGAGCCUGUAUUUUUCCCAACAGAUGCAGUAAAGAGUCCUCCUUGCAUUGUGUAUCCAUGGGAGUGAAGGCUUAAGCUACAUGUUUCAUAUCUGGAUUUGCCAUCUAAAAUAACCAAGGACUAGCAAGUGUAUGUGAAAAGACUGCACAUUUAUGGAUUUUUACGUAAAAGACCAAGCUUUCAUCUGAACUAAAUGUGAGGGGGUGCUAAAAGAACUGACAAGUGAGGGAGAAAUCAAUUCCACUGUUCGCUGGAAAGGACUUGUGAAAUGCGUGUGGGAAUGAGACGGAUACAGAACAAUGUUCAAGGGAAUAAGCAGCCUGGCUGUUGACUCUGUCACUUGUGGUAUCUUCUUGCUAUGAGAGAUCACCACACUAUUCUGGGAUGCACAGAGCAAGCAUCAAGGAGAUCUUAAAACAGCAGGAGGAAAGCACAAGUGAGAAUAGUAGAGGACUCAGUCAGGCUGGACACAGCUAGCCAAGGUCGGACAGUUUGCUAAACGGGAGUUCACAAGGCUGACUGGUGUGGGGCAUUAGUGGGGAUGGAGACGCGGCUGACUAGCUAGGCUGAACAUAGGUGAAUGAGGCAUCUGGAUGGGGGUGACUGGAUAACGUGUGGGGGACAAGGCAUUGGGAGUGGCUGUACGAGGAGCAUUGACGGGGUAGACAGACUAGUCGGGCUUGGGGGACGACGGUGGAGACUGACGGAGCAGACGGUGGUUCAAGGGGACAGAGUGGUUUGACGGGAAACGGGACAUCGUUGGCGUGACAGCUGGACGAAUGGCAGGAGGGAGCAACGUGACAGGACGGGACUAGGAUGGCGGGAUGGUUUCUUGGGACUCUUUUGGGAGGCUGCUGGACGGGACUGACUGGACGGGCUGAGGAGACGGGUCAGCUGGACGGGACGGGACUAGGCUAGCGGGACUAGACGGGCCGAGGAGACGCGACGGCAGGACGUGAUGGGACAAGGACGGGAUGGAUUCUUGGGAGGCUGCUGGACGGGACUGACUGGAUGGGCUAAGGAGACGGGUCGACGGGACGUGACGGGACUAGGCUGGCCGGAGGGAGUGUUUCUGCAGAGACUGCCGGACGGGACUGAUGACUGGACGGGCUGAGGAGACGUGACGGGACUAGGCUGCUGUACGGGCCGAGGAAUCGGGACUAGGCUGACGGGAUGGAUUCUGCAGAGGCUGCUGGACGGGUUGAGGAGACGCGAAUGGCUUGAUGGUGGGAGACAAGACGAGGAUGGGUUGAGGCAGAGAGGAUGGUGAGUGGAUGCAGUUGAGCUGGAGUGAUCUUGAUGGGUGGUGAUUUGGCUUGAUGGCUUUCAGCAUGGUCGUGGACGUCGGGAGUGUUGGUUCUUCAGGAUAUGUACUAUUUGUUUGAGAAUGUUGGUGUUGGAAUGUUGUGUAAGUUGUUGACAGGUACUGCCACUGAGUGGCUGUAGUUAUUAGACAAAAAUAGGUUCUUGUAAAUCUCUCGCACAUGAUUACACUGCCAUUCAUAUACUCGAGCAAUUUCUUGGCCUAAAUCAUGAAUUGGCCCAAAACGUGUAUUGAAAUGUAAAUCUCAAAAGGUUUCUUUUAUUAUGUUGAAAGUUUGGUUUUCGCGAAAAGUAUAAUAAAAAUACAUGUACGAAUGAAAAUAUACGAAAUUAUGACAACGUCAUAAAUGUCAUGAAAAUGUAGCACUUGUUGCCAACAUCAAAAUUAUGUUGAACACUGUUAAUUCACUUAUCUUGUGAAAUUUGGUGAAUACAUGUUUACACAUGAAAUUGAAACACAAUACAUGUAUAGGGAUAAAAUGGUUGCAUUCGCUGAUUGGUUUUACUAGGAAAUAAUUAUGAACAGUUUUCAGACAAGCAAAACUUGUUUAACAAAAUUAACAGCCUUUAUGAAAUGAAGUUAAAUUCUAAAUCUGUGAGACAUUUUCCUAAAUGUUGAGAAAGUUAAGAAUUGAGUGCAUGUUGAGAACUAAGUCGUGGAACUGAAGGUGAAAGAAGUUAUGGGUCAAUUCAGAUAGCUGCAUUUGUUUUAGUAUGUGUCGUGUAAAAAUUACCGCAAAUCUGAUUACUUUGUGUAACGGCAUAGUUGAGCAAGUAUGUUGAGUGUGAAGAUGGAAAAAUUACAUAUGAAAUCAAUUUUGGCAAAUGGAGUAUUGAAUGCAACUCGUUUGAAAACAAAAGAUCUUGAGAUUUGAACACAUAAAAUGAAAGCAAUAUUGAGGGAGCUCAAAUUAGUAAAAAAAACUGAGAAAAGAUAAGCGCUUGAAUUGCUCCCAUGUUCUUCUGAGCAAUAAAAGAGUAAGCAUAAGCAUUGUAGACUUCAUCCCAACUUCCUUCAAUAUAAAAUGUUAUCGUAUCCUGGGCAUCAAAAGGGCCCUUCUUCCAAAAGAAAAACAUGUAAGUUUUUCAACUUUCUAUUCACAUCUUGAAGUUUGAAAUCACCUACCAACAUGCCAUUUAAAGAUGGUGGUUUUCUAGAUAUAAGUUAUCUUGAAUGAUAAACAUCUGCUCUUUAAUUUUUUUGUGGAAAUGCCAAAAGUUCAAGUUAGGAAUUUGUUGUACGUAUCUCCCAAUAUAUUUUAUUGCUUUGUAAACUAUUUUGCACCUAGUUGCAUCUUUAGUAUUCAAUUAACUUUCAAAUAAGCUCUUUAAAAAAAAAAAAGAACAGCUUUUAAAUAACAUCAUCGGAGAAAUUUGAAUUUUGAAACAAAAAGUUUUUAACAUUGCAAAAUACAAGAAGGUAAAAAUCAACAAUUCCUUCUUUGGGAAAUGCCUUGGGGAAAAAAUGUCUUUAAGUGAAGAAAUUGUGUUGAGAGUAAGCUUUUCUUGAAAAUCAUAUUGUCUUUUUUUCCAGUUGUAAUCGCGUUUCCAAAAUUUCAUUGUAAGAUGAAGUGUGGCUUAAGACAAUUUGUAAUUUUUGAUUAAAGUUGCAUUUGGGUGGAUUCGGCCGGCUAGAAGGGGUGAUGAGGAGGCCGGUUUGCAAAGCAAAACUUAACUGAUUGUAAUUGUCAAAAAAAUUGAUGUAAAAUAACCCAAAAAAGGUUUCUUGAAUUUGUGAAACGGUAUAGUUGUUCAGUGUGAUGAUGGAAGAAAUUAACGAUUUUUUUUUUAAAAUUGGUCUGUACGAACAUGAUGAAAUCAAUUUGAGCAAAUGGAGUAUAAAUACAGCUUGUGUGGAAAAAAAAAUCUUGAGAUUUGAACACAUGAAAUGAAAGUAAUAUUGACAGAACUCAAAAAAAUGAGGAAAUAUAAAAAGCAUUUGAAAUGAAUGUUCUUCUGAUUAGCACUAAAAAAAGUAAGGGUUGUAGACUUCAUCCCAACUUCCUUUAAUUUAAGAGUUUAUCGUAUCCUCGGCACGAAAAAGGCCCUUUUCCGAAAUUGCAUUGUCAAAUUUUGAAAACAUGUACAUGUACAUGUAUUAAGGCCGAGUAAGACAUUGUAAGAUGGUAAUUUUAUAGACACCUGUACUUCUGUGAGAUAGACAUAUGAUUUUUUUUGUUGGAAAAUUUCAAAUCUCAGUUAAGGAAUAAGCUUUUUAAAUCCUUCAAUUACCUCGUGUACUUUAUCCUUGAAAGGCCAGUUUUAAAAUGUAUUCGGGGGUGUUCUGGAGCAGCACUGGCUGACAUAAAUUGUAUUUCUCAUUGGAAACUACCCAGUAUCACUUUGUAAACUACAUAUUUUGUACAUCUAGUUUGCAUCUUGAAUAUUCAAUUAACUUUCAGCGAGAAAACAGAGAAAUUUGAAUUUUGAAAAAAAACAAACACAUUUUUUUUUUUUUUUUUAACUGUUGCAAAAUACAAAAAUGUAAAUCAACGAUUCCUGCUUUGGGAAAUGCCUGGGGAAAAUGUGUCUUUGAAUGAAGAAAAUGUGUUGAGUAAGCCUUUCUUUAAAAUCAAACUGUCUUUUUUUCCAAUUGUAAUCGCGUUUCCAGAAUUCCAUUGUAAGAUGAAGUGUGGCUUAAGACAAUUUGUAAUUUUUGAUUAAAGUUGCAUGUGGGUGGAUUCGGCCGGCUAAAAGGGGUGAUGAGGAGGCCGGUUUGCAAAGCAAAACUUAACUGAUUGUAAUUGUCAAAAAAUUGAUGUAAAAUAACCCAAAAAAGGUUUCUUGAAUUUGUGUAACGGUAUAGUUGUUCAGUGUGAUGAUGGAAGAAAUUAACGAUUUUUUUUGAAAAUUGGUCUGUAUGUUCGAACGUGAUGAAAUCAAUUUGAGCAAAUGGAGUAUAAAUACAGCUUGUCAUGUGUGGAAAAAAAAAAUCUUGAGAUUUGAACACAUAAAAUGAAAGUAAUAUUGACAGAACUCAAACAAAUGAGGAAACAUAAAAACAUUUGAAAUGAACGUUAUUCUGAUUAGCACUAAAAAGAGUAAGGGUUGUAGACUUCAUCCCAACUUCCUUUUUAUCGUAUCCUUGGCACGAAAAAAGGCCCUUUUCCGAAAUUGCAUUGUCAAAUUUUGAAAACAUGUACAUUGUACAUGUAUUAAGACCGAGUAAGACAUUGUAAUAUGGUAAUUUUAUAGAACUAUACUUUUGCGAGAUAGACAUCUGAAUUUUUUUUGUUGGAAAAUUUCAAAUCUCAGUUAUGGAAUAAGCUUUUUAAAUCCUUUAAUUACCUCAUGUACUUUAUCCUUGAAAGACCUGUUUUAAAAUGUGUUUGGGGGUGUUCUGAAGCAGCACUGGCUGACAUAAAUUUCAUUUCUCAUUGGAAACUACCCAGUAUCACUUUGUAAACUACAUAUUUUGUACAUCUAGUUGCAUCUUGAAUAUUCAAUUAACUUUCAGCGAGAAAUCAGAGAAAUUUGAAUUUUGAAAAAAAACCACCUUUUUAUUUUUAACUGUUGCAAAAUACAAAAAUGUAAAUCAACGAUUCCUGCUUUGGGAAAUGCCUGGGGAAAAUGUGUCUUUGAAUGAAGAAAAUGUGUUGAGUAAGCCUUUCUUUAAAAUCAAACUGUCUUUUUUUCCAGUUGUAAUCGCGUUUCCAAAAUUCCAUUGUAAGAUGAAGUGUGGCUUAAGACAAUUUGUAAUUUUUGAUUAAAGUUGCAUGUGGGUGGAUUCGGCCGGCUAGAAGGGGUGAUGAGGAGGCCGGUUUGCAAAACAAAACUUAGCUGAUUGUAAAUGUAAAAACAAUAUGGUAAAAAGAACCCUACAAACGGUUUCUUUAAUUGGUUAGUUCGGAAUAAAAAGGUGCAUACAUGUGGGUGGAAUCGGCCAGCUAUAAGGGGUGAUGAGGAGGCUGGUUAUAAAAUGUAAAAUAUCCGGUUAGCGAAAUGAUUUUUUUUAUUCUGUUUGUUUCAUAUGGAUACUACAAAAAGUACUUCAAGCUUUGUAUGUACUAAUUAAAAAAAGAAAAAAAUGUCAAGUCUUUAAAAUUUAAAGGUCCUACUCUUUCCUUCAAAUGAAAUUUUUUAUAACUUCAAGGGAAAAAGUUUCACAUUUUUAAAUGUUUCCAAACAUUGUUUAGAAACUAUUAGCUUUAAAUUGCCAUUGAUUUACACAUUUGGUGGAAGACAUUUUUUUCUUCUGAAAUUGAAAAGCACUAAUUAUGGAAACACUUUGACAACCAUUCUAAUGUGACACUACAUGUAGUAAAGAUGCAUCUGUUUCACCAUAAAUUAUCUCACACAAAAAUGCCUGUAAAACACUCAAGUUUUCUAAUAUUCUUUAACCAUUUACACAGUAUAUUUUUGAAAUCGUUUAUGAUUGUUUCAUGUGUAUUUUGUCCAUUACCGAUGUUCAAAUUGUGUUGUCAUUUGGUACUGAAUGUUUGACAUUUUAAGAGCCAAAUUAAUCUUCAAGUCUUAAGUGAGUUGCACUGCACUUUUUAAUCAUAACGGCUAAUCUCGACAAUUUGAAACGUUACGAAAAAAUUUCGUGGUAGAAAAAAAAGAGAAUUUAAUGUUUUUUUGUGCCAAAAUGAGUACGCGUUGAUAACACCAUUGAACGUUAACUUGUGAUUAAAACUAAGUCAGAUUUUUUAUACAAUCCCAGAAAGCACAAUCAGGUCAAUACAAUGGUUAAAUCGUUGGAUAUGUUUUCAUAACGAAAUCCAUUCUGUUUAAUACAUGUAAAAAGAAUUAGUAUUCAGACAUUUGGCCUUCAUUUUUUUAAAACUUGUUUACAUGUACACAUUACAUAUCAAAGCUAAUUAUUUUUCUGCAUUGUCGUCAUUUUAAAACCAAGAAAUUUGGUGACGGUUGUUUUUACUGAAAUUCAUCUCGGGGACUUAAAAAGACAUUGUGCUGGAAAACAACAAUUCACAAGUUAGUAGUAAAGAGUACCACAAUUUUUUUCUCUCCAAAUUGCAUGAAAAUCUAUAAUAAGACUGAUGUAACAUUGAAAAUCGAAUAGCAUUUGUGAAAGUCUAUGGGAGAAAUCCUUUUUAAAAUUGGAAAUGCAAACAAAUUGUACACAUACACUAAUCUACCUCAUUUGUAACCUUGUUUCUUUAUACGUUGCAUUGAGGGAGUUUUUCCUGGUUUUCCCCAAAAGGGUUUUACAGGUUUUUUGACUCCCUAAUGCAACUGCACGGUAAAGAGGCGGAGGAUGAACAAGAAACAAAAAAAUGUUAAAAAUCAGAAGAGAUACACGAAAAGAAUAAAAGAAAUGAAACUUGA